rnacentral:rRNA from 1 species
UAGGGAAUAUUGGACAAUGGGGGCAACCCUGAUCCAGCCAUGCCGCGUGAGUGAAGAAGGCCCUCGGGUUGUAAAGCUCUUUUGUCCGGAAAGAAAAGCUUCGGGUUAAUACCCCGGGGUUCUGACGGUACCGGAAGAAUAAGCACCGGCUAACUUCGUGCCAGCAGCCGCGGUAAUACGAAGGGUGCAAGCGUUACUCGGAAUUACUGGGCGUAAAGCGUGCGUAGGUGGUUGUUUAAGUCUGAUGUGAAAGCCCUGGGCUCAACCUGGGAAUGGCAUUGNAAACUGGGCAGCGAGAGUGCGGUAGAGGGUAGUGGAAUUCCCGGUGUAGCAGUGAAAUGCGUAGAGAUCGGGAGGAACAUCUGUGGCGAAGGCGACUGCCUGGACCAGCACUGACACUGAGGCACGAAAGCGUGGGGAGCAAAC